UCCUCAGAGUUAGAAGCAAAGACUUGACGGACUUUGCAGGCUUUGACAGGAUCUUCUGGUGGCGGGGGGCAGGGAGCGGCAGGAACAAUUCAACGACUUCCCCUGGUUUCUAAAUAUGGCGAAGAGGUCAGUACUUGAGCCUAGAAGAUCUGCCUGUAAAACUGAGGAAGAACUCUCCUCUAGACAGAGAAUGAAAAGAGGAAGCAGGGAGAGAAAGGAUGGAAGCCUAAGGUGAAAAGAGGCAGAACUGAGCCUACUGUGAGGAGAGACAGUAUCCAGAGGAGGUGAAAACACUGCAAAUAUUUACUCUGAUUUCAAGGAAGAGCAAAG